rnacentral:rRNA from 1 species
GACGAACGCUGGCGGCGUGCCUAAUACAUGCAAGUAGAACGCUGAAGGAGGAGCUUGCUCUUCUGGAUGAGUUGCGAACGGGUGAGUAACGCGUAGGUAACCUGCCUGGUAGCGGGGGAUAACUAUUGGAAACGAUAGCUAAUACCGCAUAAUAGUAGAUGUUGCAUGAUAUUUACUUAAAAGGUGCAAUUGCACCACUACCAGAUGGACCUGCGUUGUAUUAGCUAGUUGGUGGGGUAACGGCUCACCAAGGCGACGAUACAUAGCCGACCUGAGAGGGUGAUCGGCCACACUGGGACUGAGACACGGCCCAGACUCCUACGGGAGGCAGCAGUAGGGAAUCUUCGGCAAUGGACGAAAGUCUGACCGAGCAACGCCGCGUGAGUGAAGAAGGUUUUCGGAUCGUAAAGCUCUGUUGUAAGAGAAGAACGAGUGUGAGAGUGGAAAGUUCACACUGUGACGGUAUCUUACCAGAAAGGGACGGAUAACUACGUG